GAAGAUUGGAGGAAGAGAAUCAGGACCCAGCACCCGCUGUCUCCCCUGUGGACUCUGGGAUGAGGGUUUGGAGCAUCCAAACAGAACCAUUCUCUAGCAAAGUGGGCAUGGGGUGCUUUUCCUGUGGGGCAUCUGCACUAUCUUGUCAGUGAGGGAGUCUAUUCUAUUCUGCUCCUCUCCUUGCUACCAGAAAUUCAAUUUUUUUUUUUUUUCAGAACAGGAAAAAAAAAAAAAACACCAAACCAAAUGUACAGAGCUUUGGGUGUAGGAUAUAAAAAAAAAUGUAUUUAGACAUUUAAAAGAAAAAAAAAAUCAAUGUAUUUAUUUGACUUCAUUCCGUGUAUCAAAAGCACAUUUUAAUUUUUUAAUCUGCCUUUUUUUUUUUUUUUUGUUGUUGUUCUAUUUUUUGGGUAGUGACAGUUGUGGCCCACCCUGCCUGGUGAGGGGACAGGGGGGAUCUGUGUGCAGGUGAUUCCUUACUGGACUGGACUCUGCACUCCCUGCUGGCACCAAGAGCUACUCAUGAAGGUGUUAGGAUGGAAUUUGUGGCUGGGAAUUGUCUGUAUCCAACCGACUGCAUGGGAAUUGCUCGUGUCACCACGUGUGCAACAGGAAUUUUCCAUGCACUAAACAGCCAGGCACUUGAGAUGGAUUUCAUUCUCCUGGAUCCAGUUUUUUCUGCCUGUUCCCCAAAGAAAUCCCUGGAUUCCUUCCCCAAAGGUGCCAACUGACAAGCAGAUGUACUGCAAAAGGGAUACUGCAGCCAAAACACUGAUUUAUUUCCAAUUAAGUCUUGUGGAGCUCUCUUCAUACUAGAAUAUUUUUAUUUUCUUUGUACAACAUACAAUCAUGUACUCUUAACAGAGAUUUACUUUAAAGAGAAGAAGAAGAAGAAAAAAAAAAUCUGGAAGUAUUCUUUAAAAAAAAAAUACACAAAAAUCUUUAUUAAUAAUCCUGUAUUUUUACUGAUCAUGUUUGAAUGUCUAAAAAGACUUUAUUGUUCUAAUUAUCCAGAUGUAUGUUUGUAAAAUAGCUCUUUUAUGACUUAGCUGAUCGGGUUGUAUGUUUCUGGAAUUAAAUAUUGGUCACUUAAAAAGAAAAAAAAAAAAAAAAGAGAAAUCUGUUUUCAGGACCUGGGAAAUAGAAAAUUUAAGCGUUUCAAAUAUCAUUAAAUAAGCUUAAAGGAAAAUCAGCUUUGUCUGGUGGAUUUUUUGGGGUGGUUUGGCUGUAAUUACCUGGAGGGUUUGAAAGAUAAAUGAUGGAAAAGGAAAUUUUUCCAGAGAUUGAAGUACCUUGAUUGUAUUUCUUGCUGCUCAGAGCUAAUGAAUUAUUAAUUAAUUACUUAAUUAAUUAAUUGGCAGAGCACCCAGUACAGGAAAAGAAAUCCCUCCUUGUUCCUUCAGGACAUUCCUGCAGGAAUUGGAGCCUUGGUGGGUCCUGCACACCCCUGGCAGGUGAGACCAGAAAAUUAAUUUCUGCCCUUUUUUUAAGGAAUUUCUGGUCACAGAAAGAAAUUUAAUGAUUUUUGGAGCAAUUUAAUGAAUUCUGGAGCAAUUUUAAUGAAUUUUGGAGCAGUUCAGAGGAGCUGAACUGGCUGUGAGACAAUUCAACCUGAGCAGGGAGUGCUGCUCUCAAUCCCAAAUAAUUUCUGGCUUCUUUCUCCUUUUAAAUCCAACCAGAACCAUCAUUCAGUUAAAUUAAUUAAUUUAUCUUAUUAAUUUAUUUUUAUUUUUAAAAGGAAAUUUGUUUUGAAGGUUGGUGUAGAACCCUUCCAUGUGAUAUUUCACCUCAAUAUUUCCUCAUUGCUGUACAACCCUUCCCUGUGAUAUUUCACCUAAAUAUUUAUUUUCCUGCUGGAUCUUUUUCCCUCCUCUGGGACCCACCCAGAACUGGAAAAGAGAAGUGAAAUUAAAACUCAGCUGUUGAGGGAACCUGUGAAUUUUGGAGCAGGGAACAUCUGUGCUGAGAUUUUGGUGAUUUCUGAGCAGAGGCUGCUCCCCUUGAAUCCCUGGAUUUGGUGACAUUCCUGUCUUUCCCUUCCCUGGAAGGUGAUGACAAAAAUAAAUAAAUUAAAACAACACCA
ensembl:lncRNA